AGAAGGAGAGCACUACCUGGAAUGGAAUCCAGGGGCAAGCACAGGAGGGGUACGGCUGGAAAAACCGCCGUGCAACCCAAAGGUGUAACGCAUACCGAACUAAAGUAGGGAAAUGUGUGAGCCGGCUGCCGAGAAAAGCCGCUAUUGUUUGUACUGUACCCGUACCGUAAACCGACACAGGUGGAUGAGGAGAGAAUCCUAAGGCCGACGGAAGAAGCAUUGCUAAGGAACUCGGCAAAAUGACCCUGUGACUUCGGGAGAAAGGGUGCCUCGAAAGAGGCCGCAGAGAAUAGGCCCAAGCAACUGUUUAGCAAAAACACAGGUCUAUGCAAAACCGCAAGGUGAAGUAUAUGGGCUGACGCCUGCCCGGUGCUGGAAGGUUAAGGGGAGAUGUCAGGAGACGAAGCAUCGAACUUAAGCCCCAGUAAACGGCGGCCGUAACUAUAACGGUCCUAAGGUAGCGAAAUUCCUUGUCGGGUAAGUUCCGACCCGCACGAAAGGCGUAAUGAUUUGGGCGCUGUCUCGGCAAUGCAUCCGGUGAAAUUGAAGUGCCAGUGAAGAUGCUGGCUACCCGCGCCAGGACGGAAAGACCCCAUGGAGCUUUACUCCAGCUUGAUACUGGGAUUCGGUAUUGUAUGUACAGGAUAGGUGGGAGGCUGAGAAAUGGUGACGCCAGUCGCCAUGGAGCCGCUGUUGGGAUACCACCCUUGCAGUACUGGAUUUCUAACCAGCAGCCGUGAUCCGGCUGGGGGACAAUGUCAGGUGGGGAGUUUGACUGGGGCGGUCGCCUCCGAGAGGGUAUCGGAGGCGCUCAAAGGUUCCCUCAGAAUGGUCGGAAACCAUUCGAAGAGUGCAAAGGCAGAAGGGAGCUUGACUGCGACACCGACGGGUGGGGCAGGUACGAAAGUAGGACUUAGUGAUCCGGUGGUAUUAAGUGGGAAUGCCAUCGCUCAACGGAUAAAGCUACCCUGGGAUAACAUGCUUAUCACUCCCAAGAUUUCACAUCGACGGAGUGGUUUGGCACCUCGAUGUCGGCUCAUCGCAUCCUGGGGCUGUAGUAGGUCCCAAGGGUUGGGCUGUUCGCCCAUUAAAGCGGUACGCGAGCUGGGUUCAGAACGUCGUGAGACAGUUCGGUCCCUAUCCGGCGUGGGCGUAGGAUAUUUGAGAGGAGCUGACCUUAGUACGAGAGGACCGGGUUGGACUGACCUCUGGUGCACCGGUUGUCAUGCCAAUGGCACAGCCGGGUAGCCAAGUCGGGAAGGGAUAAACGCUGAAGGCAUCUAAGCGUGAAGCCCCCCUCAAGAUGAGAUAUCCCCCGCAUAAGCGGUAAGACCCCUUGAAGACGACGAGGUAGAUAGGGCAGAGGUGGAAGUGCAGUAAUGUAUGGAGCUGACUGCUACUAAUAGGUCGAAGGCGU
rnacentral:rRNA from 1 species